GAGCUCAGUGUUAGAGCAUCUGCUUUGCACACAGGAGGCCAAGGGUUCAAUACCCUGCAUCUCCA